GAUGAACGCUGGCGGCGUGCCUAAUACAUGCAAGUCGAGCGAACAGACGAGGAGCUUGCUCCUCUGACGUUAGCGGCGGACGGGUGAGUAACACGUGGAUAACCUACCUAUAAUACUGGGAUAACUUCGGGAAACCGGAGCUAAUACCGGAUAACAUGAUGAACCGCAUGGUUCAACAGUGAAAGACGGUUUUGCUGUCACUUAUAGAUGGAUCCGCGCCGCAUUAGCUAGUUGGUAAGGUAACGGCUUACCAAGGCAACGAUGCGUAGCCGACCUGAGAGGGUGAUCGGCCACACUGGAACUGAGACACGGUCCAGACUCCUACGGGAGGCAGCAGUAGGGAAUCUUCCGCAAUGGGCGAAAGCCUGACGGAGCAACGCCGCGUGAGUGAAGAAGGUCUUCGGAUCGUAAAACUCUGUUAUUAGGGAAGAACAAAUGUGUAAGUAACUAUGCACGUCUUGACGGUACCUAAUCAGAAAGCCACGGCUAACUACGUG
rnacentral:rRNA from 1 species